rnacentral:rRNA from 1 species
AUUGAACGCUGGCGGCAGGCCUAACACAUGCAAGUCGAACGGUAACAGGAAGAAGCUUGCUUCUUUGCUGACGAGUGGCGGACGGGUGAGUCAUGUCUGGGAAACUGCCUGAUGGAGGGGGAUAACUACUGGAAACGGUAGCUAAUACCGCAUAACGUCGCAAGACCAAAGAGGGGGAGCUUCGGGCCUCUUGCCAUCGGAUGUGCCCAGAUGGGAUUAGCCAGUAGGUGGGGUAACGGCUCACCUAGGCGACGAUCCCUAGCUGGUCUGAGAGGAUGACCAGCCACACUGGAACUGAGACACGGUCCAGACUCCUACGGGAGGCAGCAGUGGGGAAUAUUGCACAAUGGGCGCAAGCCUGAUGCAGCCAUGCCGCGUGUAUGAAGAAGGCCUUCGGGUUGUAAAGUACUUUCAGCGGGGAGGAAGGGAGUAAAGUUAAUACCUUUGCUCAUUGACGUUACCCGCAGAAGAAGCACCGGCUAACUCCGUG